GUGUACCAUCAGUCACAGCUGCUGAGUUAGCCAGUUAGGUAGUAGUACAUGACAGUGAACGGCUCAAAAGUAUUUCUGUGUUUGAUGCAUGGCCUAUCUUACUUCAUGGUUAUACAUUCUGUUCUGUACCUAACUUAUAUUUGAAGCUGACUAUUCUGUAAGAUGGAUCUAACCAUCAUUAAGUGCACACGUUUUCAGGAUAAUUCGCAACUGCAUUAAAAAAUUAUAGUGGGAGUUAUACAUGUUUUCUCAUGAUAGAUUGAUCUAGACUGAAACAUGAUUUUGCAUCCCGUUUUCCGUCGACAAAUAUACAAGUUAUACAAGUUAUAUCAGCAAGUUACUGUAUGUGUUAGAGAAAUCAAUGUUGAUUUAUUUGUUGUUCUUUUUUUUCUUUCUAAUUUUUGCAUGAGAGCAAACUGGUGUAGCUAGCUGGACUAUGCAGCCAUGAAUCAGGAAGUAGCAUAUUCAGUUUUGCUAAUAGAAAAUAAAUGUAUUAAAAACUUUAAAAACUGCAUAAUAAGUGCUUGUUCAUGUUUGGUUUUCUCUAAACUUUGUUUGUAUGAUUGAGGGCAAAUUUACUUGGUUCUUUUCUCUAAAUUGUGUUUGGAACAUUCAUUUUUAUGAUCUAAAAUUGCCUUCCUAUGAUGAUGCAGGUGCCCGGUUUGUGCUCGCUACCGAAGGAGCUCCAUGUUGAAGAAGAUUGAAGAGCACCAGGGUUAACACCAGGGCAGCUUGUAGAGCUUGUAGAGCUUGUAUAUGUAUAGAGCUUGUAAAUGUAUCACGUGUAGAGCUUGUAGAGCUUGUAUAUGUUAGAGCUUAUUAUGUGUAGAGCUUGUAGAGUAUAUGUUAUUUGUACAAUAGGAGCUCUGUACUGAAUCUGCCUGAUAAUAUUUGGAGUAUUAUGUGUGUGUUUUGUUUGUGCCAAUUUAAAUACUGGUUAUUUAUUUACUGUUAGAUUGAAAUAUAAAGAAUAAGAACUUGCUAGCUGGGACCCACGUACCUGAACCUGACAUCUGGGACCCAUUUGACUAGUGGACCUUUUUUAUAUUACAAAAAAACUAAAACUUUCUAGCAGAAAAGGCCACGGCCCCAAAAUGAGAAGGCUUAAUUGUUGGGCUUGGCCCAUCUACCUAGCCAAAAU
rnacentral:lncRNA from 1 species